GAGGUUCCUGCGGUCUCCUCCUGGCUGCCACCCCUGUCCGUCUCUCCGGGUUACUCUCCAGGGAGCCGGGAGCCGCUUCAGGUUGCAAUCUGCGAUGCAACGGCGCCUUUGUUUGACUCCAGCCUUGUUUUGCCUCAUACCUUAUCCUCCUAUUUAGAGUACCUCAGCACCUCAUGGGCUCCGCUUCACCAGUUCCUCAAUCAGUCAAUGCCUCUGACUUCUAGCCGCCAUCCCUCCCAGUGGAUACUUUAAGCAGGCAAGCAAACCAAACAAACGCCCAGCACGCUUGCAUGCAGCAAUCUCCGUUUUCCGGUCUUUGGUCGCAUGACUUGACCUCAGCGUAUCCCCUACACUUGAUCUUCACACACAGCUUCAUAGGUUAAGACACUUUUUUUCCAGAGAAAUCAUACUUUCUAUCUGCGAUUGUGGAACUGCGAUUGCUCUAAGCCCUUGAAAACAGUUUCCUCACCAUGAAAGCUUGGGCCAAAAAUUAGAAGUGAAACCCAGCCCUCCCUCUGUCUUCUACUCUUGGCCUACCUUGGCCCUAUACUUUAUCAUCCAUAAACCAAAACAGUCGCCUGGCCUGACAAUGUUUGAUCGGGGAAGUUUGAGUUGGGGAAUUAACCUACAACCUGACAGAAUGAGGCCCGCCCGUCUCUAACAGAGUUCAAAACCUCCUGAAGAUGAAAGUAACUUCAAAACUAACUCAGACCAUUUUAACGGUUUUGCUUACAAUUACCAGAACUACAUUUCUUUGAAAAUUUGAUUUAGCAAUCGUAAACAAGCUGUACUGUUUGCUGACUAUAGCGUAUCUACUGGCAAGUUACCAGUAUUAAUGUGUUGUCCAUAACAAACCUCGGAUUAAUGUUAUUGUUAAUCUGUUUAAUUGAAGAGUUUAACUUCAUAUCUAACUUCAUCUACUAUGAAAUCAGUUACCUUCAGGAAGCAGGAUUCCUCCUACUCUCCACUCACAUGAAGGACCAGUGUCUGUUUUGGAGGCAUGGAGUUGGAAAUGAGUUGGAGAGAUGACGGUAACAGUAGCUUCUAAAUAUGAACCUGAUGCUUAUACAACCAUUAUACCAAAAGUAAAGCUGGGACCAUCUCAUAAUGUUUGUGUACAUUCCUGUUGUCUUCUACCUCCCAUCCACCGUGUCUCUCUACUGCCUAUAACCAGCCUACAUAAGGCCCUGAACAGACUGGAUGAUGCCCACCCACACGGAUGAAGGGCGGAUGUUGUUUACUCAGUCUGCUGAUUCCAACGCUAAUCUUUUCCAGAAACACCAUCACAGACACACCGAGAAAUAAUGCUUUAUCACCUAUGUGGGCAUUCUUGAGCCCAAUCAAGUUGCCACAUGAAAUUUACCAUCACACCUACCUGUCCACCUCUGCCCACACCUACUUUAAGUUUAACCCAAUAAUAAAUGAGACUUAAUCUCAUUUUUAGAGCCCUCCAAUGAAAAAUUUGUUAUUGUACUUCAUAAGACUUUUUGAUAUUUAACAGGUCUCAAGAAAGAUUUUUUUUGGCAAAAGCCAUACUUACACAAAGAAGACAUGGGUUUUAGACUGACUUUGGCCCUUUCUACCUGUAGGGUCACAUACUUUCACAAUAUGGACAAAAUGAUGCUACUGUGCCUUUCCCACAGGAUUGCUGUAUAAAUCAUUUGUGAAUUCUAAGAUUAUUGAGAUGAUUAUGCUUAUGAAUAUCUUAUUAUAUAAUAACUUUUCCCAUUUUAAAAAGAAUUGCAUUUAUAGACAUAAAUGACUAAGGUGGCUUUUAAAAUUCCCGAAGAAAAUCUUUUUAGAUAUAUACCAUUCUAAUGACUUGUAUUUAUUAGACAAGUCUGGAUUUAAAAAUGGGAGUUUAUAGUCAUUUAAGCCAACUAAUAAUAAUAUCUAAGGAGCCUGGAUGAGUAAAGACUCUUCAAUUCACAGUCAAAUGCCAAGUGAGGCUUAUAUUUUCGUUAGGAAAGUUUCGCCAGGGUGAUUGUUUUAAUUACUUUUAUUGGAAUAACAGUAGCUAAUAAAGCAAUCCAGAUUGUUACCAAGCUCAGUAGGAGAGAAAAUAAUAGGAUGUCUUCACAUCUUAUGACUAGAAAUCAUGUCCUCAGAUACUUUGUUUCUUCCUCUUUCAUUGUGGUGUGAAAAGUAGAAAGAAAGCUCCCCUCUGCAGGGGAAGUUUUAUAGAGAUGGUAACCUGGUUAUACUCUGUCUUUUAGGAAUCCUUGCAGAGUUGGGAAUAGCACAUUUCUCACUAUAUAUAUAUAUAUAUAUAUAUAUAUAUAUAUAUAUAUAAUAUAUAUAUGGUAAUUUUUGUGUGGAUUUAUAUUACCUUUGAUCCCCAGACAUUGUUUGAAAAACUUGAGGAAGGAGGAAAAAGAAUCAGAUGGUGACGGAACUCAUGUGGCUGACUGAG
rnacentral:lncRNA from 1 species